rnacentral:lncRNA from 1 species
GAUAAAUGAUUGGAGGGGAGAGGCAGGGCUGCUGCUUCAUCAUUGCUGUUACUCCCAGCGGGUCAGAGAUAUUUUGCAUGUGUGUGUGUGUGUGUGUGUGUGUGUGUGUGUGUAUGUGUGUAAGAUGGGAAAAGAAUAUGUAGGAAUGAGAAGACCUUAAGAUGGUGAAGUUGGAGAUAGUAAGUUUUCCUUUAUUUCAGAAUGUCUGUGAAAGCAGUUUAUAAUGAAACAUGCCUUCAGACGUGACUUCUCUGUCUGCACGGCAGCCUCGAGGGAGGCAGUCACAGUCCUCCUGCAGAUGAGGACGCUGAGGCCCACAAGGGGGUCAGUCCAUCUAGGCCUGAGAACCACUCUUAGCCAUGUGUUUGACCAGAAGGCUGAGCAAAUAGCUCUGAAGCCUGGUAGAACAGUGCCUGUCAAAUGUGCACGUGCAAAUGAUUCAGUGGGCACCUGGCAAAAAUGCAGAUUCGGACUCAGCAGUCUAGAGUGGGGACUGGGACCGGGCCUUUCUAACAAGCUCCCAGGCGAUGCUGCUGCUGCUGCCUUUCCCAGAUGGCACUUGGAGCAGCCAGGCAGGAACGCCUGUUACUACCAGUGAAGCCCUGCUCUUGCCCAUCCAGUUGGGGCUCACACCUGGCCCAGCACUUCCUUCCCAGGCAGCCAUGGGGACCCCCUGGCAGCUGUGAGUUCCAGAUGGGUAGACAGUGACAUCUCCCUGCAAAGCCUUUUCUCAGACAGCAAUGGUGGCCCAUGUCCCCCCAGUGAUCCUUGAACACUGCAGUUGCCACUGCUAAUGACGGAGACAGAACUUUCCCAUAAGAAGCCCACCUAAUGGGCGAUGGGGAUUACUCUACUUACAGCCUUUCUAAACAAAUCCAGUUCAUUCUCUGCAAAAUCCGUAGCCAUUUUGGAAAUUGAAGUUGUAGCAAGAUUCACCUAAGAAAUAAGUCAGCACGACAGUCAGGCUGUGCUCUUUGCGUGUUGGUUAACGUGUCGCUGGCUCUCCCUCCCUCCCCUCCUCCAUCUCUGGCCAGUCACUGAGCUCCUGUAUCCAGGCACUGCGGGCCGCAGGGAUGGAUCUGUAACCAGGCGUAUAUUACAGACUUUAUUCUUUAGCUCAGCCAACAUGCUGGACCCUCAGAAGUUUCAGAACUCCAAAGGGUGUGCAGUAUUUUCCAAACUCAGAUAAAUUUGGGAGAUUUGUCUGCAUGUUAAUGGAGCUUCAAAUGCAAAAAAAGCACUGAGAAGUCCGAUAGCAGGGAAAUCUGCUUUGCCAUGUCUGACCAGCAUUUCCACAGUUCUUUGACUGUGUAAUGUUUUUUUUCCAGGGAAUUGAGUUUGGGAAACCCUGGACUAGUGUGCCCCUUUCUGAGUGUGAGCCUGGCUGGGAGCAGCCAGAUGUCCUCUGACCAGCUGAGGUGUCUCCUAGCCAGGGAUGGGGCAUGUCAGCUUCCCACUCCUGUAUUUCACCCUGGCUGUAUUUCACUCCUGGCUCUGCCAUUCUGGCUGUGGCAUCCUGAACACAUCAUGUGGGUGAACGGGGAGUCGGCAGCAGGAGGGGUGAGGCCCAAAUCCCUACCUGUGAGAGUAAAUCUGAAAACCACUGAAGGCCCCACCCACAUGGGUUGCAAUCCUUGACACUCCUACAGAGUUUCUUUUCAUAGCUUCUAUGUCUUAUUCUAAAUAAAAAACCAUUUUCUCCCUUUAUUCCUAAUAUUCUAUACAUUUGGAGUGACUUCUUUGCAAAGAACUGUCCAAAAGAGAAAUCAAACCAAAGCAAACACAGGCUGCCUGGGCCCUGUUCCAGCUCCUCAAAAAUGCCACUAGAGGGCUCUACCGGGCACUCACCAACGCAUAAAUGGGUCUCCCAUCAUCUUCCGUGACUCCUCUCUUUAUCUCAAUAUACAAGGACUCCAAGACACUGUUAAUGUUGUUGAUGAAGUCCUCCAACUUAUCUACGGUGGCAUUGCCUGGAAAUAAACAGACCAAAAAAAGGGGGGUGACCAGGGGGCCUCAUCAAAAAAAUGUAGCUUGCUUGAAUCAUUCCAUCCCAUCUCAACGCAGGGGACAGCAACCCCAGACACGGGUGGAGGCUGCAGCCUCUUGGGUGAACGCCAAUGCCACGUGGCUUCUUUCUUCCUGGAGUACUUGGAAGACAAACAGACAACAGAUGGAGGGCGUUGUGAGGCAGGAGGGCCGGGGAGAUGCUAUCUGCAACCACGGAGGCUGACGCGGGCUUCCUGUCUUUGCUCGCUGCCUCCUGAUGAGAGUCCCGAUCAGCACCUUCAGCGCAUUAC